AACGUGAGUACAAACUUUUGUGUUUGACUGUUGACGUGUCUCACUGUGUAUGAUGAUUUAUGAUGAUUUUAAGCGGCUGGCGUAUUAUUGCUGAGUUGUUGUACUGAUAGAGAAGUGAAAUGAGUUGGGUAUAAAUUACUCAGUACUGAUAUAGUGUCGAUAUGUUGUGAUGAGAGAUGAUGGUGUUACAAAAUAUUUACUGAGCUACUUUGGGAAACGAACAGAUGAUGUAAAAACAUUGGAAACAUAUUUCAUGAAAAUGCAUGUGCUUAUAUGUACUAAAUAUGAUAUUGCUUUACUUGUAUUUGCAUGCUGUUAACAUUUCUAUUUUAUUCCAGUGGGCUGUGGUGAGUAUUGCAGAUUUAACUUGUAUGUGUGGUUUUUAGUUAACGAUGCUUAAUGAAAACUGUUAUUGUACACUUAGUAUGGAAUGAUGUGAAUGAUGAUAUGAUGGGUAGAAUUAAUCAGUGCUUGUGUCUAGAAAUGCUGAAUGUUUAUUGAAAAGGCUAAAUGCUAGCCAGUACUAAGAGUUGAGCUACCGUGGGAAUGUGAAACGAACUGAUGGUGUAAUAUGAUGGUGUAUUGACAAACUUUUCUUAUAUGUACUAAAUAUGAUAUUGCUUUACUUGUAUUUGCAUGCUGUUAACAUUUCUAUUUUGUUCCAGUGUGCUGUGGUGAGUACUGUAGAUAUUACUUGAUUUUUAGUGUCUAUGAAUGCUGAUGUAUGAUAGCUAUAGCAUGAGCUCAAUGCUAACCAGUAUUAUGAGUUGAUGUAUUGUGGUGAUGCUAAUCGAACUGAUGAUGUAACAUGAUGGUGAACACUUACUGAAUGCAUAAAAUUUAUUGAAUUGCGUUUGUUGAUAUGCACUAUAAUAUGAUAAAUGUAUUGCUUAACAUGUAUAUUUCAUGAUGUUUAAUUUCAGUGGGCUGUGGUGAGUACUGUAGAUUGUAUUGCCUAUGUAUAGAAUUCAAUAAAAGAUUAUGACUGAAAACUGCUUUUGAUUCUUUUUGAACAGUUUUAGGGACUAUAAGUCUAUAACAAAAAUAUGUCGGUUGGCGUUCAUACAGCAAUGUUUUGAGUAGUACAGAAAUGUUUCUACGUUUGUGGUCGCCAGUUGUCUGUGAUGUGUAAAGUGAAAAAUACACGGAGCUUUGAAUACAACAAACAUUUACUGUUUUAACACAGAUUGUGUGCUAUGCAUUUUUCGAUGUAGAUCUUUUUCAGAUUUGACAUGAAAUGUAGACCUGACAUUUGAACAGAGCUGGGAAACGAAAAGAUUUUCAGAUGUGUGCUGGCAGUUUAAGUCUGGCAGCUGAAGUGAACAGUCGUGUUUUCUGGAGCUCCAACAAUAUGCUAGAAGGUAAGUAACUAUGUUUGUUUUGCAUUGCAUGUUUUCAUAUGUUUCAGACUUUCAAGCAGAGAUGUCAUGCUGACUGGAGUUGAGCACAGGGCAGUGACAAAGUGAAAGGUAAGUACUUUUGACUGAAUGUUUGUUCUAUGCAUGUUUUGUUUCAAUACAUUUCAGGAGUGCUUAUCCAGUGAUGAUAUGACAGUUGGAGUGAACAGUGGAGCCAAGCAGUCUUGUUUUUGUAGCUACUCAACAAGCCUUGAAGGUAAGUUUAGAAUUUCUCAAUGUUAGUGAAUUGAAGUACUGUCACUUGCUUUUGGACAGUCGAACAGAACAGACGUGGUUGCGAGAGCUCUCAUAUCUGUUGUGUUAAACUGUUUUUAUGAUAUGUUAUGUUUGUUUGUUUGUUUGUGAUGUACUAUUUUUCAGAUGCUGAUGGCAGUGAUGGGUUUUCAAGCUGACCUGAACAGAAAAGCACUCAUAUGGUAAGUACAAAAUAGUUGUUAUAUGGGAUGUUGUGCAUGCUUUUAUGUUUCAGGUGUACUUGCAGUUAGAGACGAAGACGAUUCAAGAAGAGGACCAUAGGUCAGAAAGUGGAUGGAACAUACAAAGGGUAAGUUGAACCUGUGUUUUUGUUUGAUUUUUACCAUGCAUACUUUGCUUUGCUCUGUUUCAGAUUUCACAUGCAGAAAUUAAACAGGAUUUCAACUGCUGAAACAGAAUUCAUCAAAAGUAAGGUAAGUUUUAAUUCAUUGAUUUGAGUUGUACAAUGUGUUCUUUACUUUAUUUCAGAUUCGAGUCACUGGUUUACACAUGGAAGAAGAUUUCCACGUCUGUUACUCAACUCUACAGAAGCAAGGUAAGUCGAUCAAAUUUUUGUUUUAAUUUGUACUGCUGUAAUGUGAUGGUAAACUUAUGCUAUUUUUCAUGUGUGUCAUGUACAGAUGGAUAAUUCAAGUUUUAUCUGUGUUGGUUUAUGUUCAAAAACGUUUUACAUGUAUGUGUGUUUGAAGAUGUUUUGUUUCAGUGGAUGGCCAGAUGGCAAGCAGAACAGACGUGUUUCUUGGAGCUGCCAAACAGUGAGUACAAACGUUUUAUAUUUUUCAGUUGUUUACUCAUAGAAGUCUGUGAAAGAUGAUAACAAGGGUUGAAUCUAUCAGUACUUGUGUCUAAAAAUGCUGAUGUGUGAUGGUUUACUGAAAGGGGUAAAUGCUAGCCAGUACUUACACUUGAGCAACCGUGGGAUGUCGAACUAACUGAUGAUGUACUAUGAUGGUGAACACUUACUUUGUGUAUCGAAAUGCUUUUGUUGAUAUUUACUAAAUAUUGAUUGACAUUUGUUUGCAUGCUGUUAACAUUUCUAUUUCAUUUCAGUUGGCUGUGGUGAGUAUUGUAAUAUACAUUUGUUUCAAUAAAUCAUGAUGAAUGAACACUGAUUUCGAUUCUUUUUUACAGUUUUAGGGAUUAUCACUCUAUAACAACUCUGUCGGUUGGUGUUCGUGAAUGUGAGCUUAAUGUUUGAGUAGUACAAAAAUGUCUUUACUUUUGUGAUCGCCAGUUGUCUGUGAUGUAAAGUGGAAAAAACACAGCUAUGAAGCAUACAAUUGUUUCAAUAUUUUAUCAAUGAUAGUGUGCUAUGCAUGUUUUGAUUUAGUUCGUUUCAGAUACGACAUGACAUGAAGAGUUGACAGUCGAACAGAGCUGAGCAAAGCAGAAAGGUAAGUGUGUUUCAUUUUAGUAUGGACACUUGUAUUUUGUUUUUAUAUGGUAUGUUUUGUGCAUGCUAUGUUUCAGGUGUACUUGUAGUCAGCGACGAAGACGAUUCAAGAAGAGGAACAUUGCUGAGAAAGUGAAUGGGACUUGCAAACAGGGUAAGUGUUACAAUUGUUUGUUUGAUUUUUACCAUGCAUACUUUGCUUUGCUCUGUUUCAGAUUUCACAUGCAGAAAUGGUCUCAUAGCAGUGCCAACAGUGAAUAAGGAUUUCAGCUGCUGUGAAACAACUCAACAGAAAGUAGGUAAGCAUUGAAUGAAUGCACUUGAGUUGUACAAUUUGAUGUGAUGCUUUUCUCUGUUUCAGAUUCAAGUUCCUGGUGUAGACAGAGAAAUGUGUUUGAAGAAGGAAUUCUACUACUGUGAUUCAACUCUACAGAAGCAAGGUAAGUAGAAACACAAUUUUGGUUUAAUUUAACUCAUGUGUUUUGCACUGCAUGCUAUUUUUCAGGUCUCUCAUGCAGUGAUGCAAAAGAAGAAGAUUUCAAGAAAGAAUCACUGCUGCAACUCAGGCCUAUAACAAGGUAAGUGUUUACUAUAUUGUAUACAAAAUGUUUCUCUGUUUUACUCUGUUUGAAGGUUUCAAUUGCAGAGAUGUUGCAGAGAUGUUUUGACAGCUUGUGACAGAAAAGAAAUUCAGCAGCUGUGUCUCGACUCUAGCCACGAGGUAAGUCAAAACAAAUAUACUGGUUUGUAUGUUAUGUUGUUAUGCCCUUCUAUGUUUCAGACUUACAUUGCUGUGACUGUUCCACAGUGGGUCAAAAAAGAGACGAAUACAGGUUUCAAGAAGAAAAUUGGCUGUUGAAAACCUGCACAAAAUAUGAGGUAAGUAAACUAUUCUUUUGGUUUGUUUUGUGCUUUGUUAUGCUUAACUAUUUUUCAGAUUGGAAUGGUGGGUCGUUACAGAGCAGACUUUUGGACAACUGAGAAGUUGAGAAACAGAGAAUGAUUCAAGAUCAGCUAGGUAAGUCUUGAUUAUUGUGCAUUGCUAAAUGUUUUUUUUCAUUCCAGUAUGGCUGUGGUAAGUACACAAACUUUCUAUAAUUUAAUAUUGAACUGUUUUUAUGACCUGUAUUCUGCAUUGUAAAAUGUCUGUUUUUCAUUUCAGUAUCCUGUGGUAAGUACAAUUGCCUUCUUUAAUUUUCAUAUUGAACUGUUUUGAUGACUUGUAUACUACUAUGCAAUGCUUAAUGUUUUUUUCAUUUCAGUAGCCUGUUGGUAAGUACACUAACUUUCUAUAAUUUCAUAGUGAAUUGUUUUGAUGACCUGUAUUCUGCAUUGUAAAAUGUGUUUCUUUUUCAUUUCAGUAUGGCUGUGGUAAGUACAAUUGCCUUUCAUAUUGAACUGUUUUGAUGACCUGUAUUUUGCAUUGUAAAAUGUGUUUCUUUUUCAUUUCAGUAUGGCUGUGGUAAGUACACAAACUUUCUUUAAUUUUCAUAUUGAACUGUUUUGAUGACUUGUAUUCUGCUAUACAAAAUGUGCUUUUUUCAAUUUCAGGUCAGCAAUGGUAAGUAUAGUGUGUUUUUUUAUGUAUAAUUUUGUAUACAUAUUGUUUUUUUCAUCAUAGCAUGUCUUUUAUAUUUAUGCUUUGUGUAAGUAAAAUGUUCAUAAAUCAUUCUUAUCUUCAAACUAAAAAUGUAUUGUGCUAUGCAAAAUGUCUGUAUGAUUUCAGUUGCCAGAGGUGAGUACCAUUACAGUUGAAAAGUUAGUUUUGUUUAGUUAAAGUUUUGGUUCACAGUUCUGUUUGUUAUUUGGCAAAAUUUACAUGUAUGCAUUGAGUCUUGAUUUCAGCUCGAUUGUGGACUGAAGAAGAUUGCCCGCAGAGGGAUUGGAUACAAAAUACAAAGUAAGUACUGAGUUUCUUACUAAAAGUUUUGAGUUGUAUUCAUUGUAUGUUAAUAUGCUAUGAUUGCUAUGAACAUGACUUUUGUAUUUCAGCGAAGACAACAUAGGUAAGUAAAAUUGUUAUCUGUUUCAUGUUUACUGUUACAGUUCAAUAUUGUGUUUAUAAAUUGUAAGUUGUACAAACACAUUCAAAAGUUUCUAAUCAUGCUUUCGAUUUCAUUUCAGCUUUACUGCUAGACGAGUGUUCUCUACUACUUGACGAGUCAGCUUUACUACCAGGCGAGCAGUGACAACAAGGCGCCUUUGUGGAAACAACACAACAAAAAACUGUACUGCUAGACGAGCAGUGACAGAAAGGCGCCUGAACAUGCAACACAAAACAAAAAAUGCCAAUUUGCAAACCUUGAUGUGGACACCGAGUAGUCAAUACAUACGUGUGGCGUAUAGCUGCGACAAAACCGUGGGUCCAUCGCACCGAUAACUUGAACAUUGGCCCGUGUAUGGACAUCAGUGCAACUUUGUGAAUCCAUGUAUCUUUGUGAAUCCAUGUAACAUUGCGAAUGUGUGUCGAUCGAAAAAUGUGUACAUUCUGAACUGAAACGAACUCGGUGUUGCAAGUGGCAAGUGUUGACAGUGUGUAUGUUUAUGUUUAUGUUUUUACAUGAAAACUAAAGGAGAUUGUUCUCCUACCUUUUUUUUCCUUGUUUUAUUGCGCUGGCCAGCAAUAUUGAUGUAUUGAUGUAUGUGUUUGUGUUUAAACUAUGCAAUACCAAAAUCAAACAAAAAAUAAACAUUAACAGUCAUUAACUGUGUUUGGGCGGCCGAGGGGUUUAAGACUCCACAAGUGUGAAGCGCACUGAUAGCACUUGGGGGUGAACACCUCGGUAUUUCGGUGCUAAAAUGUUUUCACGGUGCUUAUCUUGACGCACUGUUAAGACUACCAACCAGUUAAUGAUUGCUUCAUCUUUAAACAAAAAGUAAGUCUCUACUUUGGCACAAGAGACUCCAAGUACCAAAUACCAACAAUUAAAAAGCAGACGUUUUUCAAAACUAUGAUCGCUGAGAUUGAUAGUCAGAUGGAGUCCUGCCCAGUUAGCUGUGUAGCGGUCUAGGGCGGGGUUGCAAGUCAAUACGAAAUGAGGCGCUAUAAAGCAACUCGUCCCCGUUAUGACCGUCAAUACUUUCGACACUAUCUGGGAAUCCUUUCAACACCACAUUGUUGCGCUGUUGGAAGGGUGGUAGGCACGCAUGGUGACAUGCCUGUGCUUUGCUAUGCGACACCAUGGUAUUUUCGUACGGUGACACGAAAUAUCUUAAUCUGGCUCUCUCAGAAACGCAGGCACGCGUUGACCGAACCUGACCGAUGACCGAGCAAUAACAUUUCUAUUAAGUGCUUCAAUGCACAAAGUCUGCUAGGCUGGGUGGGAA